rnacentral:tRNA from 1 species
UCCCUGGUGGUCCAAAGUGUAAGACUCAGCACUCCUGAUGCAGAGGGCCUGGGUUCAAUCCCUGGUCAGGAAA